GCCAAGGAGAGUUUGAUCCUGGCUCAGGAUGAACGCUGGCGGCGUGCAUAACACAUGCAAGUCGGACGGGGGGUUCCGGAAGCGGGGGCGGCUUGCCGCUCAUCGCGGAAGGGAUUCCUAGUGGCGGACGGGUGAGUAACGCGUGAGGAUCUGCCUGCCGGAGGGGGACAACAGCUGGAAACGGCUGCUAAUACCGCGUAUGCGCGUUUCGGCGCGUGA
rnacentral:rRNA from 1 species